AAAGGAUUCUACUACAAAAUUAUUGAUUGAACUGCAAUUCUUAUAUCGUUGAUAAGACGUAUACGUCCCAAUAAACGUUGCGUAGCCCUGUAACCGGGCCACUUUAACUAGUCUUGGUUAAAUUGUUCAUAUCGUCCCAAGAUAGUUAGCAAAAUCGUUCUUCUCGUAGCCAAGAUCUCCGGUUGCCCGGACAUUUUACAAGAUUAGUUAUUGGUAUUAAAGUGAAGCAAGCCAAACGAUGCGAGUGCGUGUACAGAAGGGUUAGCGUAAGCGCGCGCAGAUAAUAUUUACUUUAUCGAAAAACUCUCGACUAAUCAGGAUUUCGACACUAUCUUGGUCACGGCACCAAUUUCAACUCGGAGGAGAAUUUCGGAUAAAGUCUUGCGCGUUUCUUUCUUGUAACGACGAUUUGCCAGAAAAGAAGAGGAUGACAAAGCCUUUUCGUCAUCUUUUUAUUAAAUCUAAACCGCUAGUGAUGCCAGCGUAAACACCCAGGCUGCAAAUGACAGCUGAAAAGACGUCUUUUGGUGGUCUUUCGGGUCACCGAAAGUCCGCCGAAAGACGUCUAUAUAACACCAGUUUAGACCGACAUUGACAACACCAGCGAUGUUUUUCCUAUGCGAUGUAUUUUGAUGUCAAUGUCAAAACAUACAGUGUUGCCAGCAAAAAAAAUCAAAGCUUUGUUGCUGUCAUUCUAUCGUCUUGUUGAGCCGCGCACUGUCAAUCACACGUAUUGCGUUGUGCGUUUCGCUGACAAGCUGUGGUGUGUGUUGUAUAUCGUUCUAAUGUUAGGUUAUUAUUUAGUGUAAGAGAUAUAGAUUUACCUUUUGAUUCUUUGAUGAAUGGAUUUGAACUCGUUCCUUCGAAUGUGCAGUACAUAUCCCCACCGCAGUAGUUAUUGGUCCAACGCUCCUCCGCUGAUAGACACGCAACUAUAGCGCUAUAUAAACCAUCAGGGACGCAGGAUGGAAAACGCAAAACGUCCGAGGUUCAUCGUUCAAAUGAAAAAUGGGAAGGCUGUAUUGUUACCGAUCAAUCAAGCAUCCUCUACUCCGCCAGUUAAAAUAAACUCCUAUCAUCAUUUACAUCCGGAUGUUUUGGAAGAUUUAUCCUCGUGCUCAGAUAAAACACAAACAUACGAAGAACAUAACGAAAAUUUCAUCCAAACACCGAGCACCUCACGACAACACUUGCAAAAAAGUAAACAGAGUGUUCCUUUUUGAUGGCAAUACUGCAUGCUAAUUUUCAUGUUUUAUGUUUCCAGACUCACUUCCGAAGCAAAAAUCCUGUUCAACACAAACCAAUAGACAAACUGAAGGAGAUUAUUUAUGGAACGAAAUUAUCAACAAACUAGACUUAAUACAACAGGAGCAAAGACAGCAAGCAGAGAUAUCAAACAAGAGAAUUGCAGCUUUGGAAGGACAAAUCAAAUUGAUGCGGUCGGAAUUCAACAUUGUCUCUGACAAAUUGAUUCCUCGUCCAGGGUUUGUGGCUGUGUCGAGUUUUGAGUGGGAACCACUAGCAAACAAAAAUGAUCUGGAUACGCUUGAAAAAAGAUUGUCGGAACCUGAGUUUAGAAAGAAUUUCAAUGACUAUUUAGAAACUCGUCUACCAUCAGAUUGUUCAGAAGAAAGGAUGCAUGCGGCUAUGGACAUAAUAUUUACAAAGGAGCUAGUGACUCAAAUCACGUGGACGGGCAUAAGUCGUCCCAUUGAAAAAAUAUGCUUUUUCGAAUACAAAAAUAUAAUUAGGCAAUUUAAAGACAUAGGAACAUACGGAGGUGUUACACCAUCUGAUAAAGCAAUCAAAGGUUUUUUCCAAAACAAAUUCAAGCAUGGUGGUCAAAGGCUAAACUUAGUUGGAUUAGUUAGAACUUCUCAUCGAGUUAGAACGACGCUAGAAAUCGUAUAAGUUGCUCAGUGUCGUUAUGUAAGUUAGAAAUGAAUGAAUUUAUUAAAUGUGUUCGGAAAUACCAUCAUGUGAUAUGAAAACCAUAAGAAUUGCAAUAAAGAUUAAAUUUAAAAUGUA